rnacentral:tRNA from 1 species
CAGAAGGUAGUUUAAUAUAGAAUACUAAUUUUGGGUAUUAGAGAUGGGCUUUUGUCUCCUUUUGA